rnacentral:lncRNA from 1 species
AGAUGGGCAGGAGGGACGGGAGGCGAGAGAUGCAAGGAAGACAGGCCUCGAGAUGGAUGGAGAUUCCCUCAGUGGGAGCAUGAAUACAGUUCCCCAUAUCACAGAUCAUGUGGCAGUGGAGAAACCAUAGGUGUCAGUGCAUCUCAGGAGCAAGGCAUGGGCCUCACCUUGAGAAAACCACCUCGAUUCGAUUAUGGUCUUUCUUUUGCCAGUGCCAAUGAGGCAGGAACAACAGCUGCUAAGAGACACUGGAUUAUAGAAAACAAACAAACGACUGAGUUAACCAACCUGUAUACUUUCUUCUCUUUCUUUUUUUAAAAAAAGAUUUAUUUAUUAUUAUAAAUAAGUACAUGGGGGCAGCUGUCUUUAGACACACCAGAAGAGGGCAUCGGAUCUCACUAUGGGUGGUUGUGAGUCACCAUGUGGUUGCUGGGAUUUGAACUCAUGACCUCUGGAAGAGCAGUCAAUACUCUUACCUGCUGAGCCAUCUCACCAGCCCCCUGUAUACUUUCAAGAUGCUUUAACACCCGAAUAUGUGGUGGCGAUGUUCAGUUCUUACUAAGACAGCCAUGUUAUUGAGGUAAUGUGGAUAUGGCUUCCCUGUCAUUUCUAGGCAACAUAAUCUUUAUUGCAGACUGCCUCUGUCCUCUGGCUUUUUCAGACCCCUCUUCCACUGUUCUGUGAGUGUACAAUGUGGGGGCUGUGUUAUAGCUGUAUCCAUUAGUUCUCUGCAUUUUGACCAACUGUGGCUUUCUGUAUGGGUCUCCAAAGCCUUUCAUGAAGGUGUUGACUUCUAUGUGGGGAGGAUGUAAAACCCACCCCUCACCCCCAGAGGCUCAUGGGUAAGAGAUCACCUUGAGUCUCAUUAGAGAGACUUUGGAUUUGAACUUUUUUUUUUGUUUUUUUUUGAGACAGGGUUUCUCUGUAUAGCCCUGGCUGUCCUGGAACUCACUCUGUAGACCAGGCUGGCCUCAAACUCAGAAAUCUGCCUGCCUCUGCCUCCCGAGUGCUGGGAUUAAAGGUGUGCGCUACCAUGCCCGGCCAGACAGAUUCUUGAGGGCAGUUUUAGUCGAGCCAGAGAUGGCUGCAGGUGUAGAUGCCUGUUAAAGGCCUUGCCUAGGAUGCCUGGGGUCCCAGACAGUUCUCCCAGCACUGCAUAGCAGAGAGAAGGCACCAUGACCAAACCAGGGAGAGGAAGUCAGAGGAUGGACAGAAGGACAAAGGCAGAGGAAACUCUCAAGACUGCUGGUUUCCCAUUUAUCUCUGCUGUUCCCUUGAAUACAUAUGCUGCCUCAGCCCCGACUCCUCUCCACGCUUUUAUACUCGUACUCUGUCAGAAACAGAGAUUUCCUGCAGUGACGUGAGGGUUGGAGUAAGGUAGGGCUACGGACACUAAAAGACCAUGGCAGAGCAUCACAUCCUGACUUUCGAAGCUUUGGCAGGGUCAACAAGUUGUCACAUCGAAAAGUUCUGGAGAACCCAGCCUGUGGACGGAUUCAUGGACGCUGUCUGAAGAUUUAAGAGCUGGCUGAUUUCAACCUCUUCCCACUAUUACACAGAUGUCCACUGUUUCAUGGGAAUAUCAAUUAGGCUUGUUUUGGUUGCAAGGCUGUUUGAGGAAUGCUUCUCCAGGACACCUUGUGAUCAGUCGUUUUCUGUAACCAGUGCUCUAUAAGCUCCAGAAUGGCCAGAGAGCAUAUUUACAACCUGCCUGUUUGAACCUGUUGACUCAGGGCAAAUCCUCAGUUAUCUGGGCCAGUAUGAAAGAUUCUACUCAACUGCAGUUGGGCACAGGCCUCAUCUCUCAAAGCUCCAUCUUUGUAAAUCGGGAUUCGAAGGGAUAGAGAGAGUUACUUUGGGAAGGUUCAGCAAGACAGCCCAUGCACGAGACAUCAUGGCCUUUGCCAGGUUCUCUUAAACCUAGUUAGUGCUCCAAUGCAGAGCUCACUCUCACGGAGCCUCAGAGCCCUGGGCUGGUCCCACAGUGCACGGGGCAGCAGGCUCAGGCUCAGGCUUUGAGGCAGGCAGCAUCCAGCUCGACGCCCUUGGAGCGUUUCCUCAGUCUGACACCUCACAGUGUAAGUACGCUGUGCAGCAUGUCCUCCUACAUUCUGUGGUGUUCCGAAGGAAAAGGAGUAAUGAUGACAGCAAACAUUCAGGACUAUUACAUGCUGCUGAAAAAAAAAUUGAAGUAAGAGAAAUUAGAAAGUUUAUAAAAAAUCCAAUUGGGUUAAAUGAAGAAAAUACAUUUGACUUUUGUAACUAGGAAGGAACAAAUUGAUGUUCUUUUUAAAAGCAUGAAAUUUAUAAUUGUGAGACAAAGACAAUAUGUCUAAAAAAUAAUGGUCAAUAAAUUUGUUUAAAUUAAAA